rnacentral:rRNA from 1 species
AUGCUACGGGAAGAUCAAGAUGAAGAAUUCCAUGAAGCAGACAUACUGUGGCCAGAUGCAGCCCAGGAUCCCGUGGUAGCUCAGGUGCACUACUCUCAGGACGACGGCGAUGAAGACGACGACGAGUACUCCGGCGAGGACCGCCGUCCGACCAAGGCGCCCAACCGGCAGAAAGCUUCUUCCCCCAUCGACAUCCCCGGAAAGACCGGUAGGGCUACUGGUGCAAAAGCGCCGGCUCAGCAGGCCGGGUUCAGCAAGUUCGGCGCGAGCCUUGCGGGCGCCGGCGGCGCCAGCGUGAUGAUCGGCAGCCAAGUCUUCGUGCCGCCGCACGUCAUCGUCGAUCGGAGGGCCAAGAGGGACACGGCGAUGCUGAUGCUCCUCGACGCGCCCAAGGUCGGGAGAGUGAGGGCGAUGGUGAUGCUCGAGUAG